rnacentral:lncRNA from 1 species
CCCAUACAACAACCCAAUUUUCAGUGCUUGUUUUACUCUAUAAACAUACCAUGUACAUGUUGUUAAGUCGCAUAGAUAUUAUUUAACAUUCUAGAGCUUCAAUAAUUAGCCUUUCCAAGUGAAAAUAUGAUUCUACCUUACAUCGGAACCAAGCACCCCGAUAACCAAUGAGAAAGCAACGGUAUUCUAUCAGAUGCCCAACUUCAAAAGAUAACUUUCUUUCCAUAUCAUUUGACAAAAUAGCAUGCAUCUGUAGGAAAAAACUUGCAACUUGAAAAACUAGAUAAUACAUAACUUAAGCCAAAACAAAAACUAGAUAAUACAUAACUCAAAACAAAACAAAACAGACGAACAAUUGAAAGCAUAACUUUCAUCUAGCUCAUCACUUGCAUUCAUGAUACCAAGGAAGUAGGGAGCCAUAGCCAUGUAAAGCAAGCAACCUAGCUAUAGAUAUGCUUUAAAAUCCGAUAUAAAAUAUUGCACUGGAUUACAAGUAUUAAACAGCCAUAACCUAGGUUUUUUUGUUUUAAAAUUUUAAAUAACUAUCUCUGUUUGUAUUUGUUCAAACGUUUUAUGGCUAGUUCUAUGAGACAAUCAAAUAAUCCUACAAGAUUCCCAUGAAAUUAAACUGAUGAACUAAUAUUUUAAAUAGGUGGUCACCAACGUUAGAACCCUUAGCUUCGCGCAUUUUCUUUUCUUCCUGUUAGAUAUGAGAAAAAGAAUAUUGACACUGUCGAAAUGGGGUGAGUACGUGACGAACUAUUCCACCUGAAACCCAAAUCAGAUUACACAAGAAGAACACUCCAGUUGGUUGCAGAUAAGGAGAGGGAACAAUUACAGAAAUAGUUGGUUACGGUUCAAGACAACCAAUUAAGAAAAUCAAUUCACAUCCACCACCAAAUCUAUGUUUCUUUUAUCGGUUUUACCUCCUCAACGAACACAGUGAUCGAAACACAGCUAAUUCGCAAAUAUGUUUCUAAUGACUAUUACACUCCAGCACAAAUAAUUCAAAACCUACCGCAAAUGAAGACUGUAUUAAGGCUUAAGCUUCCAAUUUCCCUAAUAAUCACGUUGAAGAAUCAUUGGUACAAACUGAAAGUCGCUCAUCCAUUUGCAAAGGCUAGGACUACUCAAAUUAACCAAAACAAGUUUCCUACUCUUCCUAUCUCCAUAAUUGCUUCACUCUAAGUAGUAACGAAAGCAAAUGUAAAGUGCAAUACAAGGCAUCUAGUUAAGAUGAAGAAAUGUGAAGGUUGAAUUCAGAAGGUUACCUGAGUUCAUUCAUGCAAAUCAGACUCCUCCUUCUUCACCUGUGCUGAGGAACUUGGAAGUUUAAAACAAGUGCUCAUCUAAGCGCGCUAGUGGAUUUUCCAUAUUUGUUUCGUUUUACAUUCUCAUAUCUUAUAGUUGAUUUCGAUAGCCAUGAAAAUCUUUUAUCUUCACUUUAGGUCAAAUUACUUAUCUAAUUUGAGACAUCCUAAUUAAUUAUGUCAAAUUUGC